rnacentral:rRNA from 1 species
UACAGAGGUCUCGAGCGUUGUUCGGAUUUAUUGGGCGUAAAGAGCGUGUAGGCGGCCAGGUAGGUCCGUUGUGAAAACUCGAGGCUCAACCUCGAGACGCCGAUGGAAACCAUCUGGCUAGAGUCCGGAAGAGGAGAGUGGAAUUCCCGGUGUAGCGGUGAAAUGCGCAGAUAUCGGGAAGAACACCCGUGGCUAAGGCGGCUCUCUAGUACGGUACUGACGCUGAGACGCGAAAGCGUGGGGAGCGAACAGG